ensembl:lncRNA
CUGCUGUUGUUUAUUGAGGCCUGUGUGUUUGAGCAGGUGGAGAGGAUUAGCGGUGCUGUCGACACUGAAGGCUGGAUGCAGCUCUCCUCAGUCUGCUCAUUAGAGCUCAUCAUUUUAGCAUUUCACUCUCACACACAUCUGAAGAGUGGCAGCCCCGUCUCCAGUUGUGAAGCAGAUGUUGCCCUCUGUUUUACCCAUCUCUGCACCCUUUAUCCCAUGCCAAGUCCUAAGAACCAAUGGUGCCAUGCUAAGUGAGGGACACAAUGGAUAUGUAAAAAUAGCAGAAUACAGGUUCUUGGCACUGAGCAGGAAACCACUGAGCAAAACCCUGCCUGAAAAACCAAAACCCAAAUGCUGCUCUGAAACGCAUACAACUGGAGGCUGCAGUAAACUUGAUGGAAAGGCAGAGGGCAGUAGUGCACUAAAGCAGCCCCCCAACAAGCCCUCUCUCCCACACUCUCUCUUUCACAAUGGAAGCGCACCCGGGGGGAAGUGUUGCUUUUUUAGGUCUAUAAGCCCGUAUCCCUUAAUCCCUCACCAUGAUUGACAAUCAUGAUUUAGGGUAUAUGGUGUCCCAUUCUAAUCCAGCAGCACUGCUUUCAUUUGCAUACUUGCCGUGCAUGGCCUCAUUUUCGGGGGAGGCAUACUGCCUGCUGCCUUUGUAAGAGAUGCAGAGAGAGAGGAGAGGAAAAGAGAGGGAGAGAGAGAGAACAAAAAGGAAAACAGGAGAUAGAAAGAGAGCUGAGAGGAGAGAGAAUUUAGAAAAGAGAGUUGGCUGGCACUGAGGAGAGAGAGAGAAAGAGCAAAGGAGAGAAUGAUGAAAAUUAGAUUAGAGAAAGAAAGAGAGAUUAGAAAUUGGGAAUGUUUGUGUAUGUCUGCCAGGAGUGAGGAUAACUGUGUGUGAGAGAGACUGUGUGUGUGUGUGUGUACCAAAGUCAGUCCUUGCCAUCUAGCCACUUCAGUAUCUCUCAAUUGCCCUCCAGCUCUAAAGAUGCAUCCCAAGGCACAUCACACAGACGAGAGAGACGAGGAGAAAGGCUAAAUUAGCAUUAACUUAAUUAAUGAGUCAUUUGUGGUAACAACGUAGAAAGACAUAGGACACCUGCAAAUAAAAAGGACAGACGAAUUAUGAUUUAAAACACAAUUGUAACCUUUGGAAAUUAGGUGAAGGCUACUUUAUAGCUUGAAAGUAGAAAGCAUGCAAAAUAAUUUUUUAAAGGCUGUUAGUCUGAAAACAACAUUGAAUACACAAUAUCAAAAAAAAAAAAAAAAAUGAAAUCAUAACAGCAGAACUAAUAGUAUCUGACCUUCAUUUUCUGUGUAUAUUUUCAACUGCCUUCCUCAAUGCAUCGCAAAAAAUGUCAUAUGCCAUGUCUUGGUUUCAUACAUUGAAAACUUUUGUAAUUUUGUAUGAUAUCAUUAUGUGCGAAGGGAAGGUCAAACAUUUACAGUCCAAACAAUCAAACAGAAGGUCAAACAUUUACAGUCCAAACAUUCAAACAAAAGGUCAGUCAUUCAGACAGAACAGUUUGUUGUGACAGAUUUAUCCAUUUAGGUUCACUGCAGUUUGAAUGAUAAUGCAGAUUUAUAUUUAAAAUAAUCCGUUAUUUAAAGAUGUCAGUUAAAUGCCUUUGUGGCGUAGAAAAGAUCAGAAAAAACUAUUAAAUAAGUAAUAUAGUAUAGUCUACAAUAAUUAUGUUAUUUUAAUAUUUUAAAUAUACAUAUAUAAUUAUGUUUUUGUUUAUUAAUGUGUAAUGACAUUUGGUCAAAC